rnacentral:rRNA from 1 species
GACGAACGCUGGCGGCGUGGCUUAACACAUGCAAGUCACGGGGGGCCCGCAAGGGUCAACCGGCGAACGGGUGCGUAACACGUGAGCGACCUGCCCAAUUGCGGGGGAUAGCCGGCCCAACGGCCGGGUAAUACCGCAUACGCUUCCCUGGGGGCAUUCUUGGGGAAGGAAACCUACGGGGCGAUUGGAGGGGCUCGCGGCCUAUCAGCUAGUUGGCGAGGUAACGGCUCACCAAGGCGAUGACGGGUAGCUGGUCUGAGAGGAUGGCCAGCCACAUUGGGACUGAGAGACGGCCCAGACUCCUACGGAGGCAGCAGUGGGGAAUCUUGCGCAAUGGCCGAAAGGCUGACGCAGCGACGCCGCGUGGAGGAUGACGCCCUU